rnacentral:rRNA from 1 species
GAUGAACGCUGGCGGCGUGCCUAAUACAUGCAAGUAGAACGCUGAAGGAAGGAGCUUGCUCUUUCCGGAUGAGUUGCGAACGGGUGAGUAACGCGUAGGUAACCUGCCUGGUAGCGGGGGAUAACUAUUGGAAACGAUAGCUAAUACCGCAUAACAGUAGAUGUUGCAUGAUAUCUACUUAAAAGGUGCAAUUGCACCACUACCAGAUGGACCUGCGUUGUAUUAGCUAGUUGGUGAGGUAACGGCUCACCAAGGCGACGAUACAUAGCCGACCUGAGAGGGUGAUCGGCCACACUGGGACUGAGACACGGCCCAGACUCCUACGGGAGGCAGCAGUAGGGAAUCUUCGGCAAUGGACGGAAGUCUGACCGAGCAACGCCGCGUGAGUGAAGAAGGUUUUCGGAUCGUAAAGCUCUGUUGUAAGAGAAGAACGAGUGUGAGAGUGGAAAGUUCACACUGUGACGGUAUCGUACCAGAAAGGGACGGCUAACUACGU